rnacentral:tRNA from 1 species
AGCGGGGUAGAGGAACGGUACCUCGGGAGGCUCAUAACCUCCAGAAGCAGGUUCAACUCCUGCCCCCGCAA